CAGGCACGUGGAACUGUUUCAGGCAAGAGGCAAGGCUUCAGUAACAGGGAGCGGCUUCAGGCACAGGGAACGUCUUCAGGCACGGGGCGCACCUUCAACCAUGGGGUUUGUCUUCAGGCACUGGGAGCACCUUCAGGCUUGCAUCUUCCCUCUACCUCUAUACUCCAAGUUCCUGGCUGGCACUGGAGUUACAUCCUUAGCACGGACAUCAUAACCUCCACGUGAGGGUCCCACGACAUCACCUCAUCGAUGCAGUCGAUGGUUUGUUCCAGAUUCAGGCUAGUUUCCGGGAAGAAACCCUGACAGAAAUUCAGAAGAACGGGAGCUGCAUUCCGUUAGGACAUGAAUACAUGAAAUUCUCUUCCUGGGAACUCCUAGAAGUAUGAGCUAGGACCCAUUUUCCAAGUUCUGCUGAAACCAGUGACCGAGGCGGGGAUCUGGCUAUCACUCAUCCUCCUGGAUCUCCCAGUUCUGGGUCAGCUGACCUCAAAAACUCCAGGAUCUGAACACAAAGAAAAUAAAAACGCCCUGGUAGACAAGUGUGAUGCAUUGAGGUCUGUGAAAGCCACAAAGGAAGCAAAAGUCAAACAGCUGAAGGAGAAAGCACAUAACCUAGAAGAAUUCUAUGAACGAAGAAAAGUGCCUACAAAAAAGAAGCUGAAAAUGACACUGUGAACUGGCGGCAAAGAAGAAUCAGCUAGCAGCUGCAGAUCUCAAGUAGUGACCAGACUGUGUGGAAACUUUGUCCAUGCUAACAUUCCUCGGGGGUGGUGUCAAUUGUCGUCAUCUGUAGGAAAGCAGUGUGUCGUACAAUGAAUCAUACCCAUCAACGUGGUAGUGCCAUUUCAUGGCCCUCGUCUUUGCAACCCUGGGAAACAUGGCAACAAAUUGAACAAACACGGGAACAGCUGCAGCAGGCAGAGCUCACCUUUAGAUACCAGUUCACGAGAUGAAUGCUCAGGACAACUAGAUCAAGACUCAGAUCUGGGACAGGGAGAUGGCGGAGCAGGGCAGGGAGGUCGCUUACUUGAAAUACAGACUGGACGGGAUGAAAGCAAAGAGGCUGCCUGAGGGAUACACGAGGCAGAAACCAAUGGCUGCAAGACCAGAGAAGCAGAACCCUCCGAGGAGAGGGCAGUCUGGAUCCUGGGGACUUCCUCCGUUAACUGGAUGAUUCUGCAUGCCCCACCCCCAUGGACUAUUAGGCACAUCCACCUCCUGAACCUUGGUGGCCCUGGGGCCACCCGGAACCCCUCCACCUGCAACACUUGGCUAUUUUGUAUGCAAGAGUCCUGGUCCUUUCCCAGGAUUGCCUUGCAGGCUGUACCCCAUGGACCACCCUUCACCACCAGUCAUGGGCUAUAGGCCACAUCCCCCUCCUCCACCUACUCUAUUUGUUAAGAUGACCUGAACUGGAUGAGUGUAUAUUCAUCUUCUUCAUGAUUGACUUUGUGUCAAUGAUGUAGAGAUAGUUGUGAGUCUUGGCAAUCCAACUACAAACUGCCUGAGGACACUGUAGCAUAUCUCAAGUUUCUCAGGACAUACAUACAAUGGGCAGUGUCAUGUCCCUGUAAUACAGUGAGCUAUACGUUUCUCUUGUCAAAUGAAAGAGGAUUUUUUACACAAAAGCAGACGUAGCAGCAGUACUGGGGCGUAUGUUGGAGACACAAUGUGUUGGGUUGCCUAACUUUUAGAGCAUCAGGUGUCCUGUGUGAAAGAGGGACAUUCAUUAAAUGAUUCAGACCUUGUAAUCACCAAAAUGGAAACACCAGUGAAGGAUCCAGGGCAAAAACGGGGGAACCUUGAAUCAUACAGGAAUAGAAGGGAAGUUGAGCACAGUAAGCAGAGUUUGAGGAGGUGCAGAGGGGAGGGUGUUGGGGUCAGUGAGAUGCAGUUGGAGGUCAUUCCUGGCCACAGCCUGAGCAGGGAGUGUGAGGUCCAUAUGGAGCUGCUAUGUGGGAUCGCUCUCAGUGCACAAUGAACCGUUCAUCUCCAAAAUGUCACUGUGUUGCCAAAGUGCACACAGGUAAUCAUCUAAAAAGAUUGUUGUCUCCCUGGAUUUUCCUGAAGCUUCUGGUAUUUGUGGGGGGGAAAGAGCCCUGGAGAUAUGGGGAGUUUAACUUGGUCUUAUGAAAAUACUGUAUGUCCAAGUUCAUAUCCCUCAGUGAGACUAAAAGUGGAUACAGAGUCUAGAUCAGCUGAGUCAUCCUACAAUUCAGGGCUGGCCAUAUGCCACCACUACUGGACCCCUGUCAUCACCCUGACUACAGCUUUGCAUCUCCUCAAACUUCUCUCACAAUAUUAUGACGCUUUGCCUGUGUUCCUGCUGUCUCAGCCCUAAUACCAGUUCUCAGUGGGACCUACACAGAGCCUCAGCUGUGGUAUCUGUAAAAACAGGGAUAACAUUUGUUUCCAAGAACAAGAGAAAAGAAGACAUUCAGUGCAGAAAGCAUCUGCAAACUCUCUGGGAAGUGUCCCCUCACCUUUCUCACAGUUUCAAUUAAGAUAUCGCCACACAAUGAUCCUCCAAAAAAGAUGGUCACGGGAGUUCAUUAAACUAAGACUGUUAACAACUCA